GCGGCGUUUUGUUCGUGCGUUCCAGACACUAUCCGAAAUGGUAAAGAAGGGUCGCGCGCAUGGCGCAAUUCGUGACAAAAAAAAUUCUAAAUAUUCCAUUACCGUACUUCGAAGCAUGUCAACCGCUGUUUAAAAUCAAUUUUUAUGCCAUUUUUCUCGUAGAAAAGUGAUAAUAUUCCAACCGGAAAUCUCCUUUUCGGCAAACAGAGGAAAAAAUCACAAAGACGGGGGCGGCCAGGUCACGCGCCUAAGCCCAUAGUCCCUUGAUCGGCCACUUGAGAAAGGCGAUAAUGUGUUUCAGCCUGGGGCUGGGAUGACGACAUUCAGGUUUUUCCCGGGCUCUGAGCGCCUAUGGACGACGUAGGAAGUGUCACGUUAGAGCAGAGAUCCUUAGUAAAAGAUAGAGAUGGCAAAGAAGUUCCAGAAAUGGUCAGACAGGCCACUUCCUGUAAAGGAAUCUCUCAGGUUUUGACCUGCCAUUUGAGUUCUGUUAUACUCACAGACAACAUUCAAACAGUUUUAGAAACUUUAGGGUGUUUUCUAUCCAUAUAUAAUAAGUAUAUGCAUAUUCUAGUUACUGGGUAGGAUUAGUAACCAGAUUAAAUCGGGUACGUUUUUUAUCCAGCCGUGAAAAUACUGCCCCCUAGCCAUAAGAGGUUAAUAUCUUGAUGAUAAUAAUCAAUAAUCAAUUCGCCUUGACUAAUGCCCAAGGUUUGUAAGACAAUGGGUUCAAAUAAUUAGGCAAGGACUCAGCUUUCUGCAAAAGGUUUCUGUAGCUUUAUUCAUGAGAACGUUCUGGCGUCAGGAUAACAAAACAGUCAUUAUAUAGUUCUUGCUUACUUACGCACAUGCAAUUACACACAAUCCGUUGGUGACCUGCAACCCCCAUAAACUUCUCACACUGUUUAUCACCUUCUGGCUCAGCCUGUUCCUUUCCUUCAAGGUUAGGAACUCUCUGAGGUUUUACUCCCUUGACCAUCUGGUUCUCUAUCUCUCUAUACUAAUUGCAUACACAUAUUUCUUUCCCUCUCCAGUGGUUCCUGGACUUUUGGACACAAAUUCUUGGACAUACGGGUUUGGUUAACAAACAGUCUUCUCAUGUGUUCUGUUAGUAUUACUUCAACGUCUAUGUCUACCUGUUCUGGUAUCUCUAACUCUGGCAUUCUAUUUAUUCAACCCGAUUAGCUAAACUGUCAUCCAUCAUUUAAAGAGAUGGCUCCUAGUAAACCAACUCUAGGGAUAAUAUCUUGACUUAAUAUUUUAGCUACCAUAAUCAUGUCCACCAAGUAAGUUGGGAACGCUUCUACCCAUUUGCUAUACUUAUCUAUUAUUGUUAAACACCCCUUCUUCCCCUCAAUUCGGAAUAGUUCAAUAAGUCCAAUUCCAAAUGUUGGAAUGGAUCUUCUUACAAUUUUUUAAAUUUAUUUAAGUAAUUAUCCUCUAGGCCAUCACUCUUUCCUAACUACUCUACUAUACUUCCCUCCCCUUGAUACAUUGCUUAGCCUAUGUAUCAAUAUUGCUGCGUAUCUAUACAAUGUCUUUGGUAGGAUAAGUAAAUUAUCCUUAUGUCAGACCUUCUCUUGUAGGAUGCCCCAUUUCAUUUUCCACAUGUCCAAUUCUUCCUGGGGCCUUCAUCCUUGGCUAUCAUUUAACAAUUCUCUGUCAAGUUUCUUAUCGUCUUUAAGAUUUAUCUAUGCUGCUUUGUAUAGUUUUAAAUGUCUAUGUGCUUGUCUGUGUAAAUAGUAACUUUUCUCUCCUUUCUUAUUUCACUGGUUCUAGUCAAUGCUACUAUUUCGGCCUACUGUACAGAAUAGUGUCUGGGCAAUGGUUCAGUGUCUAACACCUGAAACCAACUAAGCCCUUUUAGUUAGGGUAACAAUUACUUUCAACAAAAUGAUCAUAUCUCCUCCUAGCGAAUUUACCAAACAUGAACUUAAAAUCAAAACUAAAAUAUAUGCCUGCCAACGGAGCCGAUAGUCUCUCCAUGAAUUAAUAUCCUAAAGCUAAGUGAACCAAAUUCUCUUCCUAUCUACUCCUGCUGGCCCCCCUCCUUUAUUCCUGCUACUCCCCAACCCUCAAGGUUUCAGCAGUGCAGGGGAGGAUCUCUCCGUCUGCCCUUCUAUCUGUCUCCAGCUUUUUCUCAUAAUAUGGUUGUUUCCAAAUAUUGACUAAAUGUCUCAUUGUCUCCUUGGUUGCACUCCUGAGUUUUAGAAAAAUCAACCUGUCUAGAUAUUGCAUAUCUACUUAAAUUUAUCUCGAUACCCUCAAUAAUCCUGGAUCACCUAUAGGAUGUCAUAUAUCCCUGUCCUGUUGACAUAAGUCUACCAUUAUUAAACUUAUUCACAACAAAAUAUAGUAAUACUAGUAUAUCAAUUCCACCGCCUUGUUGUGUUAAAUCUCUUACACUGAAUUCAACAACAAAAUAUAGUAAUACUAGUAUAUCAAUUCCACAGCCUUGUUGUGUUAAAUCUCUUACACUGAAUUUAACAACAGCUGACUUCCUAAGGGAAAAUAAACGUAUCUAGAUAAUGUAAAAAAUACCCCUGCUACUGGUCAAAAUAUUUUCAAAUCACAUAAUCAGAUCUAAAUGACUAAUCUGAUUUACUCCAACAAGAAAAAUUAUUUUACCCUUAUUGUUCUAGGAAAAAUAGACUUAAGGAAGCCUACCCUUAGUCUAAAGCUUUGCCCUUUUAGUCCUCUCAUUGGUUCAAAUUAUCAAUUGUGUCUUAGAACUUUAACUCCAUCAUAAUUAGCAGUUCUCCAAAUUCCCUUAAAAUCAAUAUCACCAAUGACCUUAAUUCACCAUCCAAAUGGCUUUUCAAUGUGGCUGAUCAGACCACACAGGAAAAGUCACCAGAGGGGUCAAAAGUCAUACCACCCUUUCAGAACCGUGUUUCUUACUACAUUAAACAAAUUAAAGCUAAGAACUUUAUCUACAUUUUGUAUCCCAGGUUUCCCAGAACAUUCCCUAUCAAAAGAAUUUCAUGUGUUUAUUAAAACUCUGAAAACAAGACACGCCCCAGUAUCACACAGAAAUUUGAUUCUCUCUCCCAUUACUGUUAGUGUCAAAUAGGGUUUCUGUUCUUGUUGUACUGCCAAAUCAAUUGUAGCCAAUUCAAAAACUUCACAAUCGCUGUUUAUAACUAAAUUCUGAAAAUCGUCCUUCCCCUCACUAGUGUCUGUUCCCCCGCUCUCCAUAGUUAGUCAUGCCUCCUCCUCCUCCUCCUCUGAGUCUGGCUGGGGGCGCCUGACCUUCUCUUUGUAUCUGUCUCUACUCCCUCUCUGGCAUUGCUUACUUCCCUCAGAUCUGCUAGCCCCCACCCUACGAGGUUCUGUUUGGUGGCACGAUUUAUCUCGGGACGCAUUCCACUGAGGAAAGGAAUUUUUAAUUGCUGAUAAUACGGGGCAUCAAAUCCAUCCAGUACCGGGGGUUCUAUUAACCCACUGUUUGCGUUGAACACGUCCUUUAAUCUCUCUAGGUAUUGGCUUAUAGUCUCACUGUCUUCUUGUUUACACUCGUGAACCUUAGAGAAAUCUGCAUGUCUGUGAUAGCGGUCCCUCAGAUUAUUACACAGCUGUGUGAUUUUCUCGACAUAUUGUCCAUCUAUCACCCAGGGCACUACUAUCAAAUCCCCAUUUCCUGGUACCCAAUUUCCCCUAACUGCUGCCCAAUCUUUUCCCACCAGCUGUCUAACUGCUCUCUCUACUUCACCCGUGUUUAGUUUAAAGCUGGCUGCCAGAGCCUCCAAAUCUCUCUUGAACCCAUCCAUUCCUGUCUUGGGAUGUCAUACCCCUUCUACUGCCCUGGCUACAUCUCUCUGAGUCCAUGCUCUAUAUACCUCCAGCGUCGGCCCCUGUCCUUCUUCCCCAGCUCGGGGGUUAGGUAAGGCUAUCAGAGGGUACUGUCUGACUGCUCUCUCCUUCUCUUCUAUCCCUUCCGAAUCAUUCUCACUUCCCUCUUGUCUAUCUCUAUCCGGACUUUGGUUAUGGGAAACGAGUCUACUGAGGGCUCUGGGUUGUGCAGCACCACUAACACGCUCUCUUCCCCUAGUUGUCAUCUUUCUCUCUCCCUCCGUUUCUAUCCACUUUUUCAAUAAAGUGGCUAAAUCCUGUCCAGCUCCCUGUGUCUCUUCCUCUCUACCUCCCUCGGCUCCCUGAGGACCAGCAUAUGGGGGAGGGGGUAUUGGUACGGGCGGCACUUGAUGUGGUAGCCUCCGUCUCACUACCACCACCUCGUCAUCUGGGUUCUCCCGCCAUCCCUGGUCAGCCAGGGAAGGGUAUAAUUCGGGUUUAGAUGGUGUCUCUGUGGGAGCCGUUGGAGUCCUCUCUGUCUGCUCCUGGCUACCCAAACAUUCAUUUUUAGUAACUCCCUUACUUUUGGCCCCCUCCGCUCUCUUUCUAGCUUCUGCCAGCCAAACCCGAGCAGUGUCAAGGCCCUCUGUGCGCUGCUUCUCUGUCUUACCCCCACUGACCUUAUGUAUUUGUUUUACCAUUAAUUCCAAUCUUUCAACAUUCAAACAUCCAUCAAAAUCGUAUUUCUUACUCCAUUUCGGGCCAAAAUAAAUGUUCCUCUUAUCUUUUCCCAGCAUAAACCGUUCAUCUCCCGUCAAUGCCGGGAUCUCCUUAGAGGAUUUACUACCCAUGUUGUUAAAGGAACCAAUCUGGAGUUUUAGAAAUUUUAUUCGUAAGAACCAUAAACUAUCUUUUAUUCAUAUGUGCUCCAAUUUAUACAACUCCGAACCAAAUACGAUCAGUGUCUACUCGUUGUUAAUCUUUAUGUGUAUGCUAUUUUACCGUUAUUAACCUAGAAUUUGGGGAAUAAUUAUUCGCACGCUAUAUUACAAAUUGCUUCUAUCUCAUCGCUCAAAAAGAACAAACGGCUUUUAUCUUGCGCCUGUUGAUUCUAGCAAUAUGUUUUCGUUAUUAAUUUGGGGAAUAAUUAUUCGCAUGCUAUAUUACAAAUUGCUUCUAUCUCAUCGCUCAAAAAGAACGGCUUUUAUCUUGCCGCCUGUUGAUUCUAGCAAUAUGUUUUCGUUAUUAACCUUCUAUUCGCAAUAUAGAGUUGUUCUGCUAGAAUGAUUAUACGUAUCUAUCCUAACCCGGUCUUUAUCUCGCUCCUAGACAAACACUGCAACCCGUUUUAUUUUUAGGUUUUUACUGUCUGUCUUUUUCUCGCGAUUUAUUGACAGAAUUCUCCUCACACGCAAUCCCUCAUCCCAGCAUAGUUACUCUAUCUCUCUCAAAACUUUAUCUACAGAGGGGACUGUCGAUCAGACAUUAGGUCGCAUACGUAUGCAACUAUAAACUACUUUCCAGGGGUCGUAAAGCCCUAGUUAACAGCCUAUUUAUCUGUUGCUUCAUGUAACUGUUGACACCAAUACCUGUAUCUCACUCCGCCAUAUUAGGUCUCACUUCACCCAUAGAUAUCAGACCUAAAGCCUUAUUUAGGUACCGACUAUCCCCUUAUGGUUUUUUUACCCUUGUGCUACGUUAUCAGGUCUCACCACAAGCACUAGUUUAGUUUUAUGCAGUGGCCACAGUUGCCCAGGGUCGAUUUCAGACCCUGCGUCGUUUUCGAAUUCGUCGUUUUGAAUUUACAACUAAUUCCUGCCUUCCAUUCGCGCAGAAUACUUGAUUCCCUUUAAAACCGAUUUUUCUCCACGCGAACUUCUGAAGCCAGGUCACCAGCUAUAACAUUCACGACUUUCAGCGUCUAACACCCAGAGUACAUUAAAAUCCUCUACUUGCUCUCCCUUUCACUCUCAUCAAUCGCUUUUGCCUUUCAUUUACAACAAUCGCUUUUACCUUUCACACAAAAAUCGCUUCUGCCUUUCAAUCAUAACAAUCGCUUUUGCCUUACACUCUCAACAAUCGCUUUUGCCUUUCACUCUCAACAAUCGCUUUUGCCUUACACUCUCAACAAUCGCUUUCUCAUCAAAUGCCAACACCCAAUUGUGUCCCUUAUUCCAUCAUGCAAUGCAGACAUACAGGUGUAUUUCCCAUUUCAUCAUACAAUGCAGACAUACAGGUGUAUUUCUCAUUUCACCAUACAAUGCAGACACACAGGUGUAUCACUCAUUUCACAAUGCAAUGCAGACCUAUAGGUAUAUCACUCACCCCUUAUUUAAUGUAAUCAUACAGGUGCUAUUCCCCAAAAGUAUGAAUAAAGUCUACUAACCUUAUAAUUUGCAGCUGAGUUUUUCAAUGUUCGUUGAAUCUCGUCACCACCUCUGUCGCGUACCAGUUUGCCACCGGCCUGUAAAGAACCCACAGAAAAGGGCCAGGUCUUUGAUUUACGGAUAUUUCAUCCGCCCGUGCACGGUUUCGGUGUCUCCUUGGAACGACAGCGGCAGUUUGAGAUCCGGCUCGAAUAGGACCAAUUGUUAUAAGAAUUUAAUAUCUUGAUGAUAAUAAUCAAUAAUCAAUUCGCCUUGACUAAUGCCCAAGGUUUGUAAGACAAUGGGUUCAAAUAAUUAGGCAAGGACUCAGCUUUCUGCAAAAGGUUUCUGUAGCUUUAUUCAUGAGAACGUUCUGGCGUCAGGAUAACAAAACAGUCAUUAUAUAGUUCUUGCUUACUUACGCACAUGCAUUUACACACAAUCCGUUGGUGACCUGCAACCCCCAUAAACUUCUCACACUGUUUAUCACCUUCUGGCUCAGCCUGUUCCUUUCCUUCAAGGUUAGGAACUCUCUGAGGUUUUACUCCCUUGACCAUCUGGUUCUCUAUCUCUCUAUACUAAUUGCA
rnacentral:lncRNA from 1 species